GCCAUCGCCAUAUUUGACAAACAUAGGGGUAGAAUAUGAGAAGGAUGAGGGUUAUCGUCAGGGAAAAAUUCUUAUGUUUAUGUUAAGGAUGUUGAUGAGAGAAAAUAGAAAGGAAAAAAAGACAAAAAAGAGAGAGAGAGAGAUGAUAACCCCUUUCUCCCACUGAAGCCACAACCCUGCAUUGAAUCUGCCAUAUCCAUGAACUCCCAACCACUGCACUUGAACCCAAAUUUUAUAUCGUAUCUCUAUCAAAUCAAACCCAAAACCACCUCUGUUAAAUCACACCAUUAUAGUCUAUAAAAAAGACCCCAAUAACGACCUUCGAAAUCGCAUGGCUCCACCAUAACCACCAUCGACAAACCCAAAAUGGGAAGCUUUUAAUAGUAUUCCGGUACCCAUAAUCGUAAAGUUAUGGAUACCAAUUUCUCUGGACGAGUCUCAGAUGCAUAUAUAUUCAAACUUCACUCAGACUGAGUUACGCUUGCUCAAGAUUUCAUAAGGAUGGACUUCAUGGUGGAGAUUUCGUAGGGAUUUUGCAAAUGUUUGCAAUGGACUUGGCGAUAGAGAUUGCUAUGAUCGUGUAGGUUUUUCAGUGGAGUUAAAUCAGGUUUUUUUCUAUAGCUUUUGCAGUUGUUGAUGCUGAUAAUAAAGACAAUUGGUGUUGGUUCCUUAAACAUUUAUGUGAAGUAUUGGGAUCGAAAAGGGUGAUAAGUUUGAUAUCAGAUCGACAUUGUGGUAUUGUGG